CUGUCUACAGAACAGAGUGCACCGGUUACAGGCUGGGAGCGAGGAUUCUGAGACCUUUGGCCUGUCAGUGAGCUGUGAAGGGGAAGAAGAAAAAAAAACGAGGACUGCACUAGCUCAAACUGUGGAAAAACCAGGACUCGUCACUACCCCCACUGAGAAGGGAGAGAUAAGCACCGCACAAGACAAAAAAAGAGAAAAGGUUUAGGCCUGAACGACAAAAAAAGGGAGAACAUGGUGAUCUCACAAUGGAAAACAUACACACUGUGAGCUCACAGAUGUGUGUCAGGACAGGGAGGCAAAACCAGCGCAUGUCAGUGGUGUGAUGAGAGAACGCUUUGAGGAUGAGUGUCUUUCAUCUGUGCAGAGAAGAGCUGACAACCAAGAACUUUAAUA